AGUCAGUUUAGUAACUGACUGUACUAGUGCAACUGAAAGUCAAAAACUGUGUCGAGGAAAGAAAUAGAACCCGCGCAAUCGAGAUCACACUAACUGUAUGACUUACAUCUUUGUUUUCUUGUGCCUCGACAGAUUUAAACGUUUUAUUAAUCCAAUCUUUCACAUCGAAAAUAUCUUCGGAAAAUGCAGAUACAUCCUGAAAUCGGUUUAAGGAUUUUUAAUAAAUAUUUCGUUGCUUACCAUGAUAAAUUACAAAUCGUUAAAACUUUUCAGGUAACUUUUUUUUUUAUAAAAAUGUAAAAUGUAAAGUAUACGGUGCGAAUGGUACGGUUUCGAGAGUCGAAGUUUAUUUUCUCUAUAUUUUAUUCUUUUUUCGGAUGCCGUAUAGCGCAGAAGUGUUUCGGUACACAGCCACUUUGCCGUUGCACUUCGCGUGUUGUUUCGUGACGUCGGAACCCAGAAGAACGUUAUUAUCGUAUUAGAUUACAACAAAUUAAUUCGUUCUAUGUGUUUCUUUUCUUCUUUUUUUUUCUUUUUUGUUUCCUUGCAUUAGUAUUAUCAAACAUUUUUGUGCAUUUCUAAAAUAUAUGUAGUGCUGCAAGGUCUAUGAUCGUCAAACAAAUCGAUUGUGCAAAUGUGCAGCAUUUAUACUUCUGUAAUGGGACGCAGUUCUAGAUUAUAGAUUCACUUAAUUCGUUGUGAAAACGCGAAAAUUUCGGGAAACUAAAAUGACAACUUCGAUACACGAUACUUUAUACAUAUGUGACGGUAUUUAAGAUUUAACGAUAACAUAACGAUACAAUGAAAUUAAAGAAAAGGAUCACUAAAGAUAAAACGAGUGUCUUGUUUUUUCUCUGUAAUAAUUGUGAUAAAAUGAAUAUCUCGGAUUCCAGACGAAUACUAUAAAGGAAAGACCAUUUUGGAAGGUGCUGUUCACCCCUUUGCGACAAUCAGCUCGGUUUCCUUGUGACACAGUUCACUUCUCUGGAUUCUGAUAAACUGCCUAACAGAAGGAUAUAAAUCGAAGAAGAAAAGGGAGAGAAGAUGGAAAACAGCAUCAUAUCGGCCGUUUCCGGGCCCUUUGUUGAUCGCCACGCCUCCGAAACUGCGUUUGCGCGUGACGAUUUGCGCAACAGUUGGAAGUUGGAAUUUUGCCUGGAAAUAGCCUUAAUCUCGACGAAAAUAAGGAGAGCAGGCUGAGCAGAACUGCAGCGGCUAUACUUUGCCCUUUUCUUUGCGAACAUUGAGCGCAUCAUCUGGUCGAGAAAAAGCCUAUGUUUCUCAGGUUGUGCUGCAUACGCAUGUGCUUCGUUUUACCAUGUCACACGAAUUUAUUACAUACGUUAUUGAUCAUUUGAUACCUUAUUUAUGUUCAUUUCAUGACUAUAAGUUCUCUAAUCUUUUUUGUUAUUGAAUAUUUGAAACGAGAUCUUGGAGUUUCGAGUUCACAUGCGUAACAAGGGAAUUAUUCUUUCGCAUAAAGUUGAACUUUAUUACGGACGGCAAUCAGACCCAAUCAGUACGGCAUAUUAGAAGCGUAUGCAUUUAAUGUCGCGUAUAAAGUGCGUCGAUCAGAAGUCCAAUUUUGUAAUCUUGCUGUGCAUAUGAAUGCGUGCCGCUGAUAAAUUGUCCUUCAUUUGGACCAGGCUGAGACUUUUCAAAAAAGUACUAUUUCAUUUAUUCAUUAUAAACAAACGAAAAAAAUAUCGAUCAUUACAAUUUUACAAUAUGAAUUUGUUCCUUUUUGUGUAUUAAUGUUGAUGUUAAAAAGUUG